rnacentral:lncRNA from 1 species
UGAACAUUUUGUAUUUUACAAUGGGGCAAAGUGUAGGUUUUUAAAUGACAUGGGGGAAAGUGAAAAAGCGGGUUUUAACAGGGGGGUUUUUCAUAAUUUAGCCAUAUUAAAAUGUUUCAAAAUUUAAUUUUAAAUCAAAUAUGAAUUUUAUUGUGAAAAUAUCUUUAUCUUUUUAACUAAUUUUUUCAUGUCCAAAAAUUUUGAAUCAUUCAUCUCAAAUAAUAUAUUAAAUUUUAACGCAUUUGAAUUUAAAUUUUAAAAUAUAUCAAAAUUAAAUUUUGAAUUUUGAAUUAGUAUUUACAGUUUAAGAUUUAGAUAAUUGUUUAAUUGGUAUAAUUUGACUUAAUUUGAACUUAUUUGAAUUAAUUUUAUUUAAUUUGGUUUAAAUAUAAUAAUUAACUAAGUAAUAAUUUAUUCUAAAAUAAAGAUAUUAAUUUUUUGCCAUUAGAUCUUAUCUAAUGAUUGAAAAUAAAAGUAUCUGUCACUUUUUGUGACAAUAAUACCCUCGCAUUUAUAUCAUAUUUUCUAUCUACGCGUUUCUCAAAUAUUUUCCUUCUCACGCGUAAUAUCCGCACCUGCCAAUUCUUUCGCAACGUAAUAUCCGUGAAUUUUUCAAAUAUCUCAUUAAUCCACCUACCAUACACAUCCACCGCCUAUAUAAUAUCCAGUUAACAUUUCUCAUACGUAAUAUGACCUAUCAUAAUUUUGAAUUAAACAUAUCAUCGUAUUUGAAUUUAAAUAUUAAAAUAUUUCAAAAUUAAAUUUUAAAUCAAAUAUGAAUUUUAUUGCGAAAAUAUCUUUAUCUUUUUAACUAAUUUCUCAUAAGUAAUAUGACCUAUCAUAAUUUUGAAUUAAACAUAUCAUCGUAUUUGAAUUUAAAUAUUAGUGUAAUAUAUGCACCCGCCAAUUCUUUCGCAACGUAAUAUCCGUGAAUUUUUCAAAUAUCUCAAUAAUCCACCUACCAUACACAUCCAUCACCUACAUAAUAUAUCAUCGUAUUUGAAUUUAAAUAUUAAAGUGAUUCAAAAUUAAAUUUUAAAUCAAAUAUGAAUUUUAUUGCGAAAAGAUCUUUAUCU